rnacentral:rRNA from 1 species
UACGGAGGGGGCUAGCGUUGUUCGGAAUUACUGGGCGUAAAGCGCACGUAGGCGGACUGCUAAGUCGGGGGUGAAAUCCUGGGGCUCAACCUCAGAAUUGCCUCCGAUACUGGCAGUCUCGAGUGCGGGAGAGGUGAGUGGAAUUCCCAGUGUAGAGGUGAAAUUCGUAGAUAUUGGGAAGAACACCAGUGGCGAAGGCGGCUCACUGGCCCGUAACUGACGCUGAGGUGCGAAAGCGUGGGGAGCAAACAGG